rnacentral:misc_RNA from 1 species
CUCGGCUGAAGGUGGACCUGCGUUUCAGGUUGCAGUGUCCUUGGCGGCUUGCAUAUAUUUUCUAAAUGAGAAGACUAAAAGUUUGGCUCGAGCUUCCAUCAUAGGACUUGGUUCUCUUGUGGCUGGUUGGGUAUGCGGUUCGUUGGUCGUUCCGAGCAUUCCUUCGUUUCUAUUGCAACCGACGUGGUCACUCGAACUUCUUACAUCUCUAGUAGUAUACAUCUUCUUGUUUCUUUCCUGUACUUUUCUCAAAUAGAUGUCUCUGUGUUGUGCUUAGCUUAUGAUCAAGUAGUAACAAGGAAAAUGGAUUUAAUGGGAG